GCUUGUAAGGCUCUCAUCCCAUGGUGUCUUAAGGGUGCCUCCUAGCUCCUAAUGGGGCCCAGGCACGUUAGUGACAACCACACAGAGCUGGUGGAAGGCUAGGAGGUCUCAAGGCAUCCAAUGUGGAACUUGCAGUAUUGGUUUGUCAAGAGAUGAAACUACACCAGUUCAUUUAAGAGAGAACGUUUAUUAUGAAUAAUUAUUUACUAGGUAUAAAAGAACUGAAAAGGAAAAAGGGUAUAAACACGGAGGGAGGACUUAUCACUCUUCAGUCUUGGGGGCAAGAGAAGGGAGACAAAAACUGAAAAGAGAAGGAUGAUUAAAAUUGAGAAGCUUAGAGGAAGGGGCACUGCUCAACUGGUGCUGGUGUCUCUGAGCUCGGAGGCGCUGCCCCAUGGACCCAGGACCCACAUCUCUGAGAAGGGUGUGCCGCUGGCCGGUGCUGGUGUCUCUGAGGCAGCGUGACGAGGCUGGUUCUCCAAGUGCUGGAAGCGCUGCAAACUGGAUUCAGCUGCAGCUAUUGCAGGUUCCACUUCUUCCUCCACCAUCUGCUAGGAGUGCGAAGUAGGGGUUGUCUGAAGAGAUUUGAGUCCUGGGCUGAAAGGGGCUGAGGAUCUGGGCUGAGCUGGAGAAGCCGGAGAAGGUAUAAAACUACUCAUCUCCCUCUGAGCCAUCACAGCUGAUUGUAUGAAGCUUGGCCAGGACUCAAGGAAAACCAAUCUAUAGAUGUGACAGCAGCCUAUGAGGUGACUUUACCUUGCUUUACCUGAUCAGACUGAUGGCGACUAAACUGGAUCUUUUACUCUCUACUGCGUAGUUAGUUGAUAGGAUUAGAAGAGCAUGAGGACAAAGCCUUACACAUGAUUGUGACCUCCAUCGUGCCUGGAGUAGGGAUGACACAUGGGAGCUAUUCACCGAAUGUUUACUGAAUCAGUGAAUGAAAAGAUGGAAGGGCAAGAAAAGGAGGGAGCAGUAGAGGGAAAGAUUUUAAUUAAAUGCAUAUGGGAAUUUCUUUCUAGCUAUUCUUUAUUCCACUAAGCACAUGGAUGCAUGAAUUCAUUUAACAAACCUUUUCUGGGG
rnacentral:lncRNA from 1 species